rnacentral:rRNA from 1 species
GGGACCAUCCUCCAAGGCUAAAUACUCGUGAUCGACCGAUAGUGAACCAGUACCGUGAGGGAAAGGUGAAAAGAACCCCGGGAGGGGAGUGAAAUAGAUCCUGAAACCGCAUGCAUACAAACAGUCGGAGCCUCGUAAGGGGUGACGGCGUACCUUUUGUAUAAUGGGUCAGCGACUUACGUUCAGUAGCAAGCUUAACCGUAUAGGGCAGGCGUAGCGAAAGCGAGUCCGAAUAGGGCGUUCAGUUGCUGGGCGUAGACCCGAAACCAAGUGAUCUAUCCAUGGACAGGAUGAAGGUGCGGUAACACGUACUGGAGGUCCG